UCAAAAAGGACAUAUUCCUCUGGUGCAGAAAAAGAAGAAAACUGGAGAAGAAAAACGCUCACAGGGAAAAGGCAGACAGACAGUGCUCAGGGUGAGAGCUGCGUCUGUACUGAAGUGUCCCAUUGAGUUUGGUGAAGUGGACUUAUCUCCUACCAUCCCUUCUCACAUCUCACUCUCUCCGGGAUCCAGACAGGGCUGAGCGCCACACUCAUCCUGCCCUCCUCACACCAGAGAGGCCUCUCUCCUUAGGGACCACAAAGUCCUCCUUACAGUUGGCAGAGUGCUGCAUGAUGCUCAAGGACUCCCAGCAAGGGCUACCUGUAUUUCUGGAUUCACUGCUGUUGUUGCCAGGGGGUGAAUCGAGACUGUGACUGCAACUCAGGGUUGGAGGCUGUGACUCUGAUGGACAGUCCUGGUGAUGACAUAUCUGUCUGUGUAUUUUGUAUGUAAAGUAUCCUUCGAUGUGUAUUUAUGAAAGUUAAUUGUUUCUAUAGCUUUUCCUGCGUGUAUAUCUGUUUGUAGUUUUGUCAGGCAUGGUGUAUUGUUGUGAAGUGGAAUCAUGUUUAUUGAUUUGUUUACCAGGAGUAGGAGGCUUUUCAAGCAUAAACAGCUCUCUCUCUGUCUCCCUCACUCUCCCUUCCUGAGUUUAAACUGUAGGGUUAGAGUGUACUUUGCAGCAGCAGGAUAUUUACAUGCAGGGUGGCCAUAUUCUCAGAUCCCCUGAACCAGUCCAAGACACAAACCCCCUUCAACAUCACCUUCCCUUACAUCAUGUAAAUCCAUUAGAUUACAUGUUCCUCGUGCUGUUGUUGUUGUAUGUGACUUGGGUCUCUGUGAGGUAAACAGCUGUUGGUGUGUGCUCUAGUGUCUGAUAAACACAUUAGACUGUUGUUUACUCUCCCCUAAACUAUCCCAGUUCAAACACUUGAUAGAGAUGGAGCUCCAAGCCAAUAAUGAAGAUGUGAGCAUCGUUAUAAUACUGUGACUUGUGAGAAUAAAAU